rnacentral:ncRNA from 15 species
UCGUCCCGCCUCGUGAUCGUCUUCUCAACCUUCACCGGGCGGGCGGAAUGAGGAAGGCCCCCGCGAGGACGUGACUCGCGGGGGCCUUCU